rnacentral:rRNA from 1 species
UACGGAGGGUGCAAGCGUUAUCCGGAUUUACUGGGUUUAAAUGGUGUGUAGGCGGGCUUUUAAGUCAGUGGUGAAAUCUCCGGGCUCAACCCGGAAACUGCCAUUGAUACUAUUAGUCUUGAAUUUUGUUGAGGUAGGCGGAAUAAGUCAUGUAGCGGUGAAAUGCAUAGAUAUGACUUAGAACACCAAUUGCGAAGGCAGCUUGCUAAACAAAUAUUGACGCUGAGGCACGAAAGCGUGGGGAUCAAACAGG